rnacentral:rRNA from 1 species
UCGUGCUCUAAGCGUAGUAACCAAAUUCUCGCUUCUGAAGCCGGCCCGGGUCCUGCCGUAAAACCCCCUAUAUUUUUCUGGUUGACCUCGGAUCAGGUAGGAAUACCCGCUGAACUUAAGCAUAUCAAUAAGCGGAGGAAAAGAAACCAACAGGGAUUGCCCUAGUAACGGCGAGUGAAGCGGCAACAGCUCAAAUUUGAAAUCUGGCCUUCGGGUCCGAGUUGUAAUUUGCAGAGGAUGCUUUUGGCGCGGUGCCUUCCGAGUUCCCUGGAACGGGACGCCUUAGAGGGUGAGAGCCCCGUACGGUUGGACACCAAGCCUCUGUAAAGCUCCUUCGACGAGUCGAGUAGUUUGGGAAUGCUGCUCUAAAUGGGAGGUAAAUUUCUUCUAAAGCUAAAUACCGGCCAGAGACCGAUAGCGCACAAGUAGAGUGAUCGAAAGAUGAAAAGCACUUUGAAAAGAGGGUUAAAUAGCACGUGAAAUUGUUGAAAGGGAAGCGUUUACGGCCAGACCUUUUCCUGGCGGAUCAUCUGGUGUUCUCACCAGUGCACUUCGCCAGGUUUAGGCCAGCAUCGGCUUCUGUAGGGGGAUAAAAGCAGUGGGAAAGUAGCUCCCUCGGGAGUGUUAUAGCCCUAAGCAUAAUACCCUUACGGGGGCCGAGGACCGCG